AGAGUUUGAUCAUGGCUCAGAAUGAACGUUGGCGGCGUGGAUUAGGCAUGCAAGUCGUACGCUUUAUGUAGCAAUACAUGAAGAGUGGCGAAAGGGAGAGUAAUGCAUGGUUAGCUACCCUCGGGACUGGGAUAGCGGCGGGAAACUGCCGGUAAUACCAGAUGAUGUCUUCGGACCAAACGUGUAAACCGGCCCGAGGAGGUGACCAUGUCCUAUCAGCUAGUUGGCGGUGUAAUAGACCACCAAGGCAAAGACGGGUAUGGGGCGUGAGAGCGUGCCCCCACUCACUGGGACUGAGACACUGCCCAGACACCUACGGGUGGCUGCAGUCGAGAAUCUUCGGCAAUGGGCGCAAGCCUGACCGAGCGACGCCGCGUGCGGGAUGAAGGCCUUCGGGUUGUAAACCGCUGUCGUAGGGGAGGAAGGUCUGGUGUAGAGCCAGGCUUGACCGAUCCUAGGAGGAAGGGCCGGCUAAUCUCGUGCCAGCAGCCGCGGUAAUAC
rnacentral:rRNA from 1 species